CUAGCAGGUGAUGAUCCUGAAAUGGUCUGCUUCG
rnacentral:piRNA from 1 species